ACAUCCUGGGGCUGGAGAAGGUCCCAAGGGUUGGGCUGUUCGCCCAGUAAAGUGGCACGCGAGCUGGGAUCAGAACGUCGUGAGACAGUUCGCUCUCUAUCUAUCGUGGGCGCAUGAGAUUUGCGUGGCUCUGACACUAGUACGAGAGGACCGUGUUGGACCGACCUCUGGUCUGCCGGUUGUGCCGCCAGGUGCACCGCCGGGUAUCUAAGUCGGGAUCGGAUAAGCGCUGAAAGCAUCUAAGUGCGAAGCCGGCCACAAGAUUAGAUCUCUCAGGGUCGUUGCAGACGACAACGUUGAUAGGGUGCAGGUGUAAAGGUGGCGACACCAAAGCCGAGCACUACUAAUUGCCCGUCAGCUUUCUUAC
rnacentral:rRNA from 1 species